CGCGUAGGCGGCCUGGCAAGUUGGUGGUGAAAGUCCUGGGCUCAACUCAGGGAUGGCCAUCAAGACUGUGAGGCUGGAGUGUGGGAGAGGAGGGUGGAAUUCCUGGUGUAGCGGUGAAAUGCGUAGAGAUCAGGAGGAACACCGGUGGCGAAGGCGGCUCUCUGGACCACUACUGACGCUGAGGCGCGAAAGCUAGGGGAGCAAACAGGAUUAGAUACCCUGGUAGUCCUAGCCCUAAACGAUGGAUACUUGCUGUGGGGGGUAUUAAAUCCCCCUGUGGCGGAGCUAACGCGUUAAGUAUCCCGCCUGGGGAGUACGGUCGCAAGACUGAA
rnacentral:rRNA from 1 species